rnacentral:rRNA from 1 species
GAUGAACGCUGGCGGCGUGCCUAAUACAUGCAAGUCGAGCGAACAGAUGAGGAGCUUGCUCCUCUGACGUUAGCGGCGGACGGGUGAGUAACACGUGGAUAACCUACCUAUAAGACUGGGAUAACUUCGGGAAACCGGAGCUAAUACCGGAUAAUAUAUUGAACCGCAUGGUUCAAUAGUGAAAGACGGUUUUGCUGUCACUUAUAGAUGGAUCCGCGCCGCAUUAGCUAGUUGGUAAGGUAACGGCUUACCAAGGCAACGAUGCGUAGCCGACCUGAGAGGGUGAUCGGCCACACUGGAACUGAGACACGGUACAGACUCCUACGGGAGGCAGCAGUAGGGAAUCUUCCGCAAUGGGCGAAAGCCUGACGGAGCAACGCCGCGUGAGUGAUGAAGGUCUUCGGAUCGUAAAACUCUGUUAUUAGGGAAGAACAAAUGUGUAAGUAACUAUGCACGUCUUGACGGUACCUAAUCAGAAAGCAACGGCUAACUACGUG